UCGUCUAUAUACGUAUAGCAUAUCAAUAAGCGGAGGAAAAGAAACUAACUAGGAUUCCCUCAGUAACGGCGAGUGAAGCGGGAAGAGCUCAAAUUGAAAUCUUCAAGGUUCUACCUUGACGAAUUGUAGUUUAAAGAAGUGUUUUCUGUUGGAAUUUUGGUAAAAGUUCUUUGGAAUAGGACAUCAUAGAGGGUGAGAAUCCCGUAUUUGACAUAUCCUUCUAGCUUUGUGAUACACUUUCAAAGAGUCGGAUUGUUUGGGAAUGCAGUCCAAAAUGGGUGGUAAAUUUCAUCUAAAGCUAAAUAUUGGCGAGAGACCGAUAGCGAACAAGUACCGUGAGGGAAAGAUGAAAAGAACUUUGAAAAGAGAGUUAAACAGUACGUGAAAUUGUCAAAAGGGAAGCGUUUGACACCAGUGUUGUUUUCUCGAAAAUCAAUUAAAAAAGGCUGGAUUUUGUGUUGUAUUGACUUUAUCAGGCUUUCUGCACUCUUUUCCUGUCUUUUUUAAUGCACUUUUCGUUUAACAAGUCAACAUCAUGUUCUUUUGUUGUAAAAGGGUCAUUGGAAGGUGGCUUUCUUUUCGGAGAAAGUGUUUAUAGCCUUGUGCCUCUGCAAUCGGAGAGAUUGAGGUCUGCAGCGUAGAUCCUUCGGGGUUAGAUACGUUUGUGCUAAGUUAUAGCUUUUCAUAGACAACUUGUUGACUAUGUUUAGUCUUGUAGCUUACUCGCUGACGCUAUUUUACCUACGCUUAGGAUGUUGACUGAUAUGUAGUCGUA
rnacentral:rRNA from 1 species